CGAUGUAUAUUCACAUAAAAUUUUACAUGUAAUUAUUUCAAGGAUUUCAAGUACUUCCCUGAACCCUGGGCAUAUAUUCCUUAGCUUCUCACAGUGAGGAAAUUCUUCGCAGAAUCCCACCCUGGGCUUUGUCUCUCUAAUAUCCCCAUGCAAAGUGAGAUGUACGCAUAGCUGUGGUAAUGGGAAAUCUGAAUGCUUAUAAACACGACUGACAUGGAACCUAGGACCUCGUAUUUUUCUGGAUAUGUUGGUGAAACAGUUCAACUAGGUAGAUUCUUAGGUUACCUAGUGAAUGCUGAUUAAUAAAUUUAUGAAAGAAGUUUCUGCUGACCAUCUGUAGAAGCCCAUCCUCUUACACUUUUUUUUUUUUUUUUUUUUUACAAAAGGUGAUUUGAAUGAGGAUUUAGAAAACCAUGCUGAUCAAAU